UAUACUGAGGGAAGAAAGUCAUGGCCCAAACCAAGACGUAGCUUGAGGGGAAGCAGAGCCGUGGCAUCAGGGACACUCUCCAGAUUUGUCUGGUCUGAGGCCCUCAGAGUCCCCCUGGUGUGUAAGGAGACCAGUCGGGGGACAGCGGUGGUUUCUGAGCUUGCAGUGAAGGAGAGGGAGGCUGGACCACAACUGGAGGACAAGACAUCCUCUCCAUCUCAGCCAUCCCAGACGGGUAAGCCAGGCUCCCCUAGAUAUCCCAGCACUGCUGAGCCAACCCCAGACAGAAGAACUGCUCAGCCCCUCACAGGUUGCGCGAGACAACAGGUGACUGAGAACGUCGGCCAACAGCGCUCCAGGUCCAGAGGCAUCCGCUCAGUCCUGUGGAUUCGGAGACUCGGGAUACCUGGGAUGAGUAACUGGAUUCCAGCAGCCUCUGUCCUCUGGGAGGCGGGGUCAGAUCCAGCCUAGGCCCUGCACCUGUGCAGGGUGUAACAUCGCCGGGGGGCAUACAUUCGCCUAUGCAUUCCCUUCUUGGCUGUGGUCACCCCAGGCCAUCCCUUCAGGCUCUGUACUCCGUGAAGCUCAUCACUGCGUCUAAAGAAACUCCUCAGACAGCUCAGGUUCUCCCUGCCAAGGCAGGACCAGCUGAAGAAGGAUCUGGAGCUGGAAGGGCCUAGGGAGGGGUGACAGGGACAGCGGUGGUCCCUUUCAGUUCCCAGGCUCCAGCUGCUCCCGGAUCCUCUGAGCAGCAUAGGGUCCCUGCAGCUCCUGCUUUCCCAGGGUCUAGAGCCGUGCCUGGCACUCAGCGGCCUCACAGCAAAUACACCUUGACUGGGGACGGGCAUUGUGGAGAGGGGCAGGGGGGCUCUCAGCGCUCUGGAGCGCCCUGUUUUCCUCCUACAACAGCCAGGGGUGGGGGCAGGGAAGCAAGUGCAGGGUGUCUCCAAGGUUCUCAACCUCACUCCUGCUACCCCUGCCUCCCCCAGCUCCAGCCUGUUACCACAGCUUCCCUCCCGUCCUCCAUCUUUUGAUGUUAAGAUGCACAUACAAGGUCUCAUCAGUGGUCUUAAGAAUCAGUCUUCCACUAAAGAAAUAAAUCUCUAAGAUGACAGACCUCAGGCAUCAACAAGAGAAAAGAAAGCCUGUCUUGGGGAGGGGGUGACAAUGGGGACUUCCAGAGGCAUAGAAAAUUCCCUUGAGACCCAGCUCCCCCACCAGCCUCACCCAGAGCAUCCUGUGUUAGCUCGAUGGCACUGACAGGGAGUGACCCAGAGCCUCGAUGAGGCCCAUCUGAGUAUGAAAGCUGAUGACACGGAUGCGGGGGCCCUAGGGUGCCUUUCUUCUCAGCACAGCCCCUGACUGCAGCCAGUCCAGUGGUGAGCGGUCAGCAGUCAGGGAGUGUGGCUGCCUGGGUGUGUGGCCGUGGGAGGGGGAGGCUGGGCUGUGAAAACAGACGAUGUCAAUUUCAGGCAGCAUUUGGGGAGAAUACUGUUCCACUUGCUCAUUCUUCUUAGUACUCCCCCCAAAACUUGAUUCGAUCAGCCGUGGAUGAGAAAGGCCUGUUACCAUAGCAACGCCACUGUGAGAAUGAAAAAAAUCAGCAACAGAGCAGGCUGGGUUCUCAUCUGGAAGCAGGCACCCAGAGGGUAAAGAAACAGAGCAAAUCCCGGGCGACCCUGAGCCCACCAUGCUCCCUGUGGUUGAACUUCCAUCCCACUUGGGACCCCAGGAAAGGCACAGGGCGCCCCCAAGAUGAUUAUGCCGAGGGACACACACCUGCUCAUUGCCUGGUUUCUAUUAAGCCAGCCUGGACUCUUUAGUCCUAUGUUUAUUUUCAUGGCUGAUGUAACCCAUGCAGACUGAUGAAUCUGCAUGCUUCUUUUGCUUAUGUUGUUUCCUGUUUAGUGGAACGCGUUCAGUAUUUCUGUGCAUAUUCAUUUCUUAUCUGAUGCUGCCAAAGGGAACCAUGGCCCUUACUUCCUCUUUCAAGGCCAUGGCCUGGACAAGGUUCACAGUAAAAGGGAGAAAACCUUUGUGAAAGAUGAAGGGUUUUGGUCCAGCCUCUACACCCUCCUGAAGUUGGACAAGCUGGAGUUUCUAAAGAGAAAUCAUUGGCUGGCUGGACUCAGUGUCCCAGCCCAGGGCCAGAAUGAGAUGUUCAGGAAAGGUGUUUCUAGGAGGCAUGUGGCUUUGAAAAUUUCCAAGUCUGGACUUGAAGAUUUGAGAUAAAGUGACCCUCCUACCUUUCUCAAGCUCUCUUUCUGCUGGUUUCCUCAGAGAUCCAGCUACCAGCCUAUCUCUGGGCCUGGCCAGAACUAAUAGCCCUGGGUUUGGAAAAAUCCCCCAGUAUAACCUCCUCCAAGGGUUUUACCCUUCGCUCAGAACUCCACUGGGCGUUUUAAAGUAGAUUGAAUCCAUAUGUUUCUGAUUCAUUUACACUUUACUCAUCAGAAUGUUCCCUUUUUUAUGAGUGAUUUGUUGUCUUAAGAUGCCUUUGCAGUCCUGUUUAUAAGCAUGUCUUUCCCCCUUAGAAACAAGAUACUGUGUCUUGUUAAGCAUGGGGGUAGGGGAGGUGGUAAAAAUGUAGCUUCAGGUCUGAGUUUGUUUUGGGUCACAAGAGGAAAUGCAAUGUUUCAGCAGAGCUCUUUGAUUUAAGUGUCAAGAGAUUUGUCUUUUCUGCUCAGAGCAUUGGGCUUCAAAGUGAAUAUCCAUCCCCUCCUCCUAGAUUGAAAACUCAGCUUCUCUGAGCUGAGAAGCUCAGAGAAGCCAUAGGCUGGUCACUUAAUCUCUUUUCUCCUCAAAUCCUUCAUCUGUAAAAUGGGGAUAACAGUGCUCCCUGCCUCACAGGGCUGUUGUAGUAAUAACGUGUUGCGGCUGUUAUAAAAGUGGGAGUCAUACAGAAUUAGGCAGAGUUCCUUUAAACAGUGCCAAGCCCGUGCAUUCUCUAUCCUUUCCAUCAAUAUGCCACCCCUCUGAUCCACUUUGCUCCAAUGAAUCCUCCAGGACUCAGCUCAAAUAUCACCUAUCGUAAGACCUUCUCUGCUCACCAGUCUUGACUGACAUUUUCUCCUCUGUGUCCCUGCAGCAUCUUACACAUGUCAGUCUCAUCACUUGGCUUUUUGUUUCUCUAACUUGACUUCACCCCAAAGAAACUGACAUCUCCUUGAGGACAGUAAAGUGAUUUUAUCUUGGUUUGACCAAUAGGAGGUGCUCAACAACAGUUUGAAAUUAAGGAGAUAAAAUCAGAGAAGGGGACACGAUGGUGCUUGCUCCUUUUUGUACUCAGGAUGAAUCCAGUUAGCUCUAUUUUGUGAAAACUCUGGCUUUACAAGGAGACAGAUGGAGUAAAGCAGUGGAGACACUGUCUCCAACGUGAGUGGGGUAGGGGGUGGCCAGAGAGAGAAAGGAACCAGAGAAGACUUAGGAUUUGAACCAUAGAGGCAAAGCCAAGUUUCCUGGAGAAGGUGGAGAGUUCAUUUUGGGAUGUGCUGAACAUAACACUCAUGUUAAAAUAUCUUGCAAAAUAUGGACGCGUGGGCUGGAGAAAGUUUGGAGCUACAGAUGUUGAAACACCGAGGGAACAUCUGAAGUCAGUGUGGGUCAUACCAUCCAGGAAGCAUGGUCUCUGAGGCCUUGGAACAUAAACUGUCAGCCAGUAUCAUUUUUUCUAGACACUUAGAGUAUAAAGUUAGGUUGUUCAUUAGAGACCUUUCCAUAGCAUUUACAGCUAUAAAUUUCCCUCUUAACACUGCUUUCACUGCAUCCCAUAAGUUCUGGUAUGUCGUGUUUUCAUUUUCACUUGUCUCAAGGUAUUUUCCCAAUUUCCCUUGUGAUUUCUUUUUUGACUCAUUGGUUGUUGAAAAGUAUGCUGUUUAAUUUCCACAUAUUUGUGGAUUUUUGAGUUUUCCUUCUGCUAUUGAUUUCUAAUUUCAUUCCACUGUGGUUGGAAAAGAUACUUCGUAUGAUUUCAGUCUUUUUAAAACUCUAUUAAGACUUGUUUGGGGGCCUGUCCUGGACAUUGUUCCUUGUGCAAUUGAGAGAAAUGUGUAUCGUGCUGUUGUUGGGUGGAGUGCUCUGUAUGUGUCUGUUAGGUCCAACUGGUUUCUAGGUUUGUUCAAGUCUUCCAUUUCGUUAUUGGUCUUCUGUCUGGUUACUUAAAGUAGGGUAUUGAGUCUUCUACUAUUAUUACAGAGUUGCUUUUUCUUCCUUCAGUUCUUUCAAUAUUUGCUUCAUGUAUUUGGACUCUGAUUCCUGUUGCAUAUAUGUUUAUAUUUGUUACAUUUUCCUGGUGAAUUGACCCAUUUAUCAAUAUAUAAUGUCCUUCUUUAUCUCUUACAGUAGUUUUUGACUUAAAGUAUAUUUUAUCUGGUAUUUGUAUAGCCACCUCAGUUAUCAUUUUGUUACUAUUUGUAUAGAAUAUCUUUUUCCAUCUUUCACAUUCAAUCUGUGUCCUUAGAUCUUAAUUUCUUAUAGGCAGCAUAAAAGUAGAUCAUGCUUUUUUCUUUUUAUCCAUUCUGCCAGGCCAGUGUAUGCCUUUUGAUUGGGAAAUUUAAGCUAUUUACAUUUAAAGUAAUUAUUAACAGGGAAAGAUUUACUUAUGCCGUUUUGCUGUUUGUUUUCUGUAUGUAUUAUAGCCUUUUUUUGGUCCCUCUAUUACUGCCUUCCUUUGUAUUUAGUUGAUUUUUUUUUUUUUUGGUAGUGACAUGUUUUGAUUUCCUUUCCAUUCCCUUUUGUGUAUAUUCUACAUGUGUUUUGUUCAUGGCCACCAUGGGGAUUUAUAUCACCAUUCUAAAGUUAUAACAAUCUAUUUUGAAUUGAUACCAGCUUAACUUCAGUGACAUACAAAAAACUCUACUCCUUUACAAUUCUAUUUGCCCCCAACUUUAUGCUAUCGAUGCCAAAAAUUACAUCUUUAUAUCUUGUAUACUAGUUAACAUAGACUUUCUCCAUGUAUUUCCCUUAUCUUCCUGGGGCUGUGAGUAGCUUUAUAACAUCCUUGCACUUCAGCCUGAAGGAAUCCCUGCAACAUCACAUGUAGGGCACAACCAGUGGUAAUGAAUUCCUUGUUUUUGCUUAUCUGAGAAUGCCUUACUAUCUCCCUUAUUUUUGAAGGACAGUGUUGCUGAAUAUAGAAUUCUCACCUGAUAGCUUUUUUUUUUUUCCUCUCAGUACUUUAAAUAUAUCAUCCCAUUGACUUCUGGCCUCCAAGUUUUCCAAUAAGAAAUUUGGCUGAUAAUCUUACUGGGUAUUCUUUAAUAUACAAUGAGUAACUUUCCUCUUGCUGAUUCAAGAUUUUUCUCUUUGUCUUUCAACAGAUUAAUUAUAAUGUGUCUCAGCGUGGGUCUUUUUCGUUCUAUCCUACUUGGAACUCAUUGAGUUUUUUGAAUUCAGAUUCAUGUCUUUCCUUAAAUAUGAGGAGUUUUCAGCUAUUAUUCAAAUAAGCUCUCUGAUCCUUUUUCUCUUCUACUUCCAGGACUUCCAUAAUGCAUAUUUUGGUCUACUUGAUGAGGUUCUAUAAGUUUCUUAAACUCUGUUCACUUUUCUUUAUUCUUUUUUACUUUCUGCUCAUCAGGCUUAAUAAUUGCCAAUGUCCUAUCUUUGGGUUCAUUGAUUCUUUUUUUCCUGUUCAAAUUUGCUGUUGAACCCCUCUAGCUAAUUUUUCAAUUUAGUUACAGGUAUCUCACACUUUUUGAAAGUUAGCUUUAUGUCAUUUCACUUUUACAAAAGACCAAUAUUAGUAACUGUUAUUACUAACCAAAAGAAAUCAGAAGAGAAUAUUCACUUUUACAGAAAAAAAGUGAAAAUAGCCUUCAGCAUUUGUUUUGCAGUGAGCUAUUAUAGAGACAGUACUUCUCCAGGAACUACACUCAGCAUCUCAGCAUUAAGCCACCAUAGUUUUGAACUGUGUAUGUGAGCAUCUGUGCUUUAUCCUGAUUUAUUGUGUGUAUCCAUUAGCAAUAUGUAACCUAAGGUAAUUGUUUCUUCACUUUAUGUCACUUUGGCUUAUGAAAAAGUUUCACAGAAAUGCUCUGCUUUCAGGGAGUGGGGGAAACCUUAUUGUACUUUUCAGAUUCAGAAUUCCUCUUUGGUUCCUUUACAUAAUUUCUGUCUCUAUUCUCAUUGUGCUCAUAUGUUGCUUCCUGACUCUCCUUAGCUCUUUUCCCAGGCUUUCCUUUAGCUCUCUAAGAAUAUUUUAGAUGACUGUUUUCUCAUGGAUACAGAGAACAGAUUGCUGGUUGCCAGGGGCAAUGGAGAAAUGAGUAAAGGUGGUCCAAUGUCCUUCCAGUUGUAAAAUAAAUAUGUCCUGAUGAUGUAAUGUACACUGGUGAUGUAACGGGCACCAUGGUAACUACAGCUAACAGUACUGUAUAGUAUAUUUGAAAAUUAAGAUCUUAAAAGUUCUCAUCAUAAGAAAAAAUACAACUCUGAUGAUGGAUGUUAGCUAGCGUUAUUGUGGUGAUGAUUUUGCAAUAUAUACAUAUAUUAAAUCAUUAUGUUAUACACCUGAAACUAAUAGACUGUUAUAUUUCAUUUAUGUCUCAAUACCAAAUCAAACCAAAUUUUGGUAUAAACAUUGAAUUUCCUUACUAAAAUUUGAGAAAUUCAUCUCACUUAAUUGCUUUCUUCUUUGCAAUCACCCUCUGUGCUUUUCCAGUCUUCUAACUUCACUGAGGUUUUCAAUGGCUAAGUCAAAGCUCUCUUUUGGUAAAUGUCACAUUGCACCUGAAAAUAUGUGGGUUAUUUUCAGAUAUAUUUUGAUACUGAUUUCCAACAUUAUUACACAAUGACAAGAGAACAGACUCUGUAUGAUUUCAAUACUUUUAGACCAUGAAGUUUUUGCACCUUGUUUGAUGUCCCUGGAUAUAUUCCAAUGUCUCCUGGUUUGUAGUCUAUGGGAACAUGAAUAGAAUUUGUAUCCUGCUAUUGUGUGAAAAUUGUAUAAAUCUUAAUUAUGUUAAAUUGGUUCAGAAUGCUUUUCAGGUAUACUAUAUCCUUCUACUUUUCUGUCUAUUCAUUCUAUUAAUUUUUGAGAGUUUGAUAUUGAA